GACAGAGGGGGCAAGCGUUAAUCGGAAUUACUGGGCGUAAAGCGUGCGUAGGUGGUUCUUUAAGUCAGGUGUGAAAUCCCUGGGCUCAACCUAGGAACUGCAUUUGAUACUGAAGAGCUAGAGUGUGGUAGAGGAUAGUGGAAUUCCCGGUGUAGCGGUGAAAUGCGUAGAUAUCAAGAGGAACACCUGCGGCGAAGGCGGGUUGCUGGGCCGACACUGACGCUGAGGCGCGAAAGCCAGGGGAGCGAACGGG
rnacentral:rRNA from 1 species